UAGACGUUUUUUUUUUUGGUUUA
rnacentral:sRNA from 1 species